GACGAACGCUGGCGGCGUGCUUAACACAUGCAAGUCGAACGGAAAGGCCUCUUUCGGGGGGUACUCGAGUGGCGAACGGGUGAGUAACACGUGAGUAACCUGCCCUUGACUUUGGGAUAACUUCAGGAAACUGGGGCUAAUACCGGAUAGGAGCUCCUGCUGCACGGUGGGGGUUGGAAAGUUUCGGCGGUUGGGGAUGGACUCGCGGCUUAUCCGCUUGUUGGUGGGGUAGUGGCUUACCAAGGCUUUGACGGGUAGCCGGCCUGAGAGGGUGACCGGCCACAUUGAGACUGAGAUACGGCCCAGACUCCUACGGGAGGCAGCAGUGGGGAAUAUUGCACAAUGGGUGGAAGCCUGAUGCAGCAAGGCCGUGUGCGGGAUGACGGCCUUCGGGUUGUAAACCGCUUUCGCUCAUGACGAAGCUUUGUGUGACGGUAGUGGGUAAAGAAGCACCGGCUAACUACGUG
rnacentral:rRNA from 1 species